rnacentral:tRNA from 1 species
GCACCGGUAGUAUAAUGGCUAUUAUCCCGGCCUUCCAAGCCGGUGAUCCGGGUUCGAAUCCCGGCCGGUGCA